ensembl:lncRNA
GUUACAGUUUUGAGAAGCACAGCCCCAUGGAAUAAUAUCUAUAAAACUUGUUGCAAAGAACCGUAGAAAUGCUAGUAACUGUAUUAUUCUUAGCCCUUCAUCCAUAGCAUUGAUAAAAAUGUUUAAAAGAUGUAUGUUCCGAGGACAGAUUCCUAUGGUACUCACCUAAAGACUUCCCUCAAGGCUGACAUUGGCCCCUUAAUCCACACUCUUCGAGUCAAUUCAUCCAAAAAUUCCAAAGGCUUCUAACUCUAUCACUAUCCAGUUUGCAGGUGCUGCGGAGCUCUUAGAGCUUGGUCAGACGUCAAAGACGCCGAAGCCAUCCACUGCAUCCUGAGCCAUCACCACCCAUCUGACUUCUGUCUUGCUACUAGACUUCAUCAACUCUGGAAGGGAGAGGCUGAUGAUUCUAUGUGACUCUGCCUCACUUAAAUCCAAUUCACUCGCAAGUCAAGACAUCACUCAUUGUGAUGUCAUUGGUAGUUCUUUGAAAAAUGAAGGGUGAACGACAAUUCUUCAGGUUGACCACAAGGACGUUAUCAGGAGACUUUGCCAAGUGACUAGUGGAAAUCCAGGUAAUCCUACACCACCAUGAUCUAUCCAGCAAUUGACAAGCAUUUAGUGAGCACCUACUCUGUGUCAGGCCCUGUGCUUAGUACUGGGUCUACAAAAUCCAAAACGGAAAAAGGCUUUUCUCUCAGAUUAUUUGCAUUCUACUAAGGGUUAAUGACUUACUUUCCAUGAUAUCGUGUGUCAGAGACAAGACUAGAACCCGUGUGUUCCUGAUGCAGCAAAAGACUGGACAGUAUUUGGAGACAAAAGAAUUGGGUUCUUUUGUAACCACUUAGUGGUUACGUGACCUUGGGCGUGUAAACCCUCUGGGCCUCACUCAGUUCCUCAACUAUUAAAUGAAGGAAUCCAACUUCACAACCUCUAAGGUCCUUUCCAGCUCAAGAUCUGCAAUCCUGUGACUCCAAGACUAUCUUUCUAUGCACCACCCUACAAGGUCUCCCUUUGGGGCUCAUAAUACUUUUAAAUGAAUUAACAUUUUAUUCACCAGAACAGAUUAUAAAUUUAUUGGCGCCAUUUCUUUCUGAAGGUUUGCUUGCUGGUUCUGCCAAUCCAGUUAAUGAGAUGGACCCCCCAGCAAUAAUUCCUUGGCCCACACCUGCACCAGGGUUCUGGAAUACCCAAGUUUGGAACUCCUGGGCAAAGGUUGCCCCAAAGUCCCCACCAUCUUGUUCCAUAUUUCCAUGGAGGUCCGCAGCUCAAAGCUUAGCCUCUCCACCAUCCAGGCCCUAAGAGAACUCACUAGUCUUUUGUCUGGAGCCAGGAAAGGAAGGAAUCAUCGGGAGAAAAGAGGUACUGCCUGGGACUCGGGCUUGGAAAAAUGCUUUCCUCUUCUCCACCAGGAUGAUUGAAAACACAGGUCUGCGUGGCUCUGGAAAGCCAUCGGAAGUCUCGGAAGAGGCCUGGUUGGGUCAUGAGUGGAAGAAGGGAGCCAAGAGCUGGCUGCCCCGCUACAAAAGGCAAGGGGCAGCCCAUGCCUCCUUCCACACUUUCUGCCCAGCUCUCGCUGGGACCCAUCAGGGCCCCCGGAAAUAGCUUUGCAGACAGGAGGGGCUCAGCGGAGAGCAAUUAAACUGAUUAGGGAAGAGGU